GACGAACGCUGGCGGCGUGCUUAACACAUGCAAGUCGAACGGAAAGGCCCUGCUUUUGUGGGGUGCUCGAGUGGCGAACGGGUGAGUAACACGUGAGUAACCUGCCCUUGACUUUGGGAUAACUUCAGGAGACUGGGGCUAAUACCGGAUAGGAGCUCCUGCUGCAUGGUGGGGGUUGGAAAGUUUCGGCGGUUGGGGAUGGACUCGCGGCUUAUCAGCUUGUGGGUGGGGUAGUGGCUUACCAAGGCUUUGACGGGUAGCCGGCCUGAGAGGGUGACCGGCCACAUUGGGACUGAGAUACGGACCAGACUCCUACGGGAGGCAGCAGUGGGGAAUAUUGCACAAUGGGCGGAAGCCUGAUGCAGCAACGCCGCGUGCGGGAUGACGGCCUUCGGGUUGUAAACCGCUUUCGCCUGUGACGAAGCGUGAGUGACGGUAAUGGGUAAAGAAGCACCGGCUAACUACGUG
rnacentral:rRNA from 1 species